rnacentral:rRNA from 1 species
CCUACGGGGGGCAGCAGUGGGGAAUAUUGCACAAUGGGCGGAACCCUGAUGCAGCGACGCCGCGUGAAGGAAGAAGUAUCUCGGUAUGUAAACUUCUAUUAGCAGGGAAGAAAAUGACGGUACCCGACUACGUAGCCACGGUUAACUACGGGACAGCAGCCGCUGUCACACGUCGGGGGCAAGCGUUAUUCGGAUUUACUGGGUGUAAAGGGAGCGUUGGUGGGAAUGCAAGUGCGAAGUGAAAGCUCAAGGCUCAACCAUGGGAGUGCUUUUGAAACUGUACAGCUAGAUUGCAGGAGAGGUAUGUGGAAUGCCUGGUGUAGCGGUGAAAUGCGUAGAUAUUAGGCAGAACACCGGUGGCGAAGGCAGCUUACUGGACUGUAAAUGACGCUGAGGCUCGAAAGCGUGGGGAGCAAACAGGAUUAGAUACCCUGGUAGUC